rnacentral:rRNA from 1 species
UGCGAGUCAUUGUAGUAAUACAAGGCAGACGGCUCAGUAACGCGUAGUCAACCUAACCUAUGGACGGGAAUAACCUCGGGAAACUGAGUAUAAUGCCCGAUAGAACAUUAUGCCUGGAAUGGUUUAUGUUCCAAAUGAUUUAUCGCCGUAGGAUGGGACUGCGGCCUAUCAGUUUGUUGGUGAGGUAAUGGCCCACCAAGACUAUUACAGGUACGGGCUCUGAGAGGAGUAGCCCGGAGAUGGGUACUGAGACACGGACCCAGGCCCUAUGGGGCGCAGCAGGCGAGAAAACUUUGCAAUGUGCGAAAGCACGACAAGGUUAAUCCGAGUGGUUUCUGCUAAAGGAACCUUUUGUCGGUCCUAGAAACACCGAUGAAUAAGGGGUGGGCAAGUUCUGGUGUCAGCCGCCGCGGUAAAACCAGCACCUCAAGUGGUCAGGAUGAUUAUUGGGCCUAAAGCAUCCGUAGCCGGCUCUGUAAGUUUUCGGUUAAAUCUGUACGCUCAACGUACAGGCUGCCGGGAAUACUGCAGAGCUAGGGAGUGGGAGAGGUAGACGGUACUCGGUAGGAAGGGGUAAAAUCCUUUGAUCUAUUGAUGACCACCUGUGGCGAAGGCGGUCUACCAGAACACGUCCGACGGUGAGGGAUGAAAGCUGGGGGGAGCAAACCGGAUUAGAUACCCGGGUAGUCCCAGCUGUAAACUAUGCAAACUCAGUGAUGCAUUGGCUUGUGGCCCAAUGCAGUGCUGCAGGGAAGCCGUUAAGUUUGCCGCCUGGGAAGUACGUACGCAAGUAUGAAACUUAAAGGAAUUGGCGGGGG